rnacentral:rRNA from 1 species
CCCGCUCAGAAACUUAAAGGAAUUGACGGGGGCCCGCACAAGCGGUGGAGCAUGUGGUUUAAUUCGAUGAUACGCGAGGAACCUUACCUGGGCUCAAAUGUAUGUUGACGUAUUCUGAAAGGGAUACUUCUUCGGACAAUAUACAAGGUGCUGCAUGGUUGUCGUCAGCUCGUGCCGUGAGGUGUCGGGUUAAGUCCCAUAACGAGCGCAACCCCUAUCAUUAGUUGCCAUCAGGUCAAGCUGGGGACUCUAAUGAAACUGCCUACGCAAGUAGUGAGGAAGGUGGGGAUGACGUCAAAUCAGCACGGCCCUUACGUCCAGGGCUACACACGUGCUACAAUGGCCGGUACAGAGCGCAGCGAAGCCGCGAGGCAAAGCGAAUCGCAAAAAGCCGGUCUCAGUACGGAUUGGAGUCUGAAACCCGACUCCAUGAAGUUGGAAUCGCUAGUAAUCGCGCAUCAGCAUGGCGCGGUGAAUACGUUCCCGGGCCUU